AUUUAUUUUUGUGUCAUUUUAAUUUAUAAAAGGCUUGUGGGUGGUUUGUUUGGUAGUUAAAAUUACAAGUGAAAGCUGCAAGCUCCUCUGCUACUACAGCCAUGGCCUCCAAAUCCUUCAUCCUGCAAAUUCUCGCUUUUAUCUUCAUCUUUUCACCUCUUGCACAUUCCAUACAGUUCAAUUUUCCUGCUGUUUUCAACUUCGGUGACUCGAAUUCGGACACCGGGGGCCUUGUUGCCGGAAUUGGUGAUCGCCUUGAUCCGCCUAAUGGGCAGAUUUUCUUCAAAAGACCAGCUGGGCGGUUCUGUGAUGGCCGCCUCAUCAUAGAUUUCCUCAUGGAUGCAAUGGACCUUCCAUUUCUUAAUCCAUACCUGGAUUCAAUUGGGGCGCCAACUUUCCGAAAAGGGUGCAAUUUUGCAGCUGCAGGGUCCACUGUACUUCCAGCAUCCGCCAAUGCUGUAAGCCCAUUUUCAUUUGGGAUUCAGGUGGCUCAGUUUAUGAGAUUCAAAAUUCGGGUUCUCCAAUUGCUGGAGAAAGGCAGAAAGUUUCAAAAGUACAUUCCUCAGGAGGAUUCCUUUCAGAAAGGACUUUACAUGUUUGAUAUAGGCCAGAAUGAUCUUGCUGGUGCCUUCUACUCCAAAUCAUUGGAUCAAAUUCUUGCUUCAAUUCCAACAAUUCUGGUAGAAUUCGAAACCGGGAUUCAGGAAUUAUAUGACCAAGGAGCAAGAAAUUUUUGGAUACACAACACGGGUCCUCUUGGAUGCUUGACUCAGAAUAUUGCCAAGUUUGGAACUGACCCCUCAAAGCUCGAUGAAUUAGGUUGUGUAAGUGGGCACAACCAAGCUGCUAGACUCUUCAAUCUGCAGCUUCAAGCUCUCUGCAAGAAGUUCCAGGGCCAGCACCCGGAUGCAAAAGUCAUACAUGUUGACAUCUAUACAAUAAAAUACAACCUCAUUGCAAAUUAUUCUCGAUAUGGCUUUGAGCACCCCCUGAUGGCUUGCUGUGGAUAUGGAGGUCUACCAUUGAACUAUGACAGUCGGGUCCCCUGUGGGAAGACAAAAGUUGUGAAUGGGACUGAAAUCACAGCCAAAGGGUGCAGUGAUAGUACUGAGUAUGUGAACUGGGAUGGAAUUCAUUACUCAGAGGCUGCAAACCAAUUAGGUAUCAGACAACUCCAUCUGUUCAAAUCAUGAAAAGGGUGUUGCAGAAUGAGUUCAAAUUACAGGAUACUAAAAUGGUAUAGGAAUGGGUGACCGUCUUGAUCCACCUAAUGGGCAGACUUACUUUCAAAAACUAUCUGGGCGGUUCUGUGAUGGCCGUUUGAUCAUAGACUUUCUCAGUAAACUACACAUCAUUUUGGAAGACUUUUAAAUUACUGAUAGUUUUUUUGGUUUGAAACAGCUAUGUUCUGCUAUAUCCAUCUCAUCCACGUUCUCUCACUGUAUAUCUCCCUGUUUCUCUGUUUUUCCACAACAUUGAAGUUGGUCCUCAAUCCUUUAUGUACCAUUUGGUCACCUAGACAGAACUUCACAGGGUUUUUUGAAUCUUAAGUGUGUCUUCUUCCAUUGUGUGACAGUGGAUGCAAUGGGCCUUCCAUUUCUAUCUCCAUAUUUGGAUUCAGUUGGCAUGCCGAAUUUCCCCGAAGGAUGCAAUUUUGCUGCUGCAGGGUCCACCAUACUUCCACAUGCA